rnacentral:rRNA from 1 species
UACGGGGGGGGCAAGCGUUGUUCGGAAUUACUGGGCGUAAAGGGCUCGUAGGCGGCCAACUAAGUCAGACGUGAAAUCCCUCGGCUUAACCGGGGAACUGCGUCUGAUACUGGAUGGCUUGAGUUUGGGAGAGGGAUGCGGAAUUCCAGGUGUAGCGGUGAAAUGCGUAGAUAUCUGGAGGAACACCAACGGCGAAGGCAGCUCGCUGGGACGGUACUGACGCUGAGGCGCGAAAGCGUGGGGAGCGAACAGG